rnacentral:rRNA from 1 species
GUAAGUUCCGACCCGCACGAAUGGUGUAACAACUGGAGCACUGUCUCAACGAAGGACCCGGUGAAAUUGAAAUGGCUGUGAAGAUGCGGCCUACCCGCAGCAGGACAAAAAGACCCCGUGGAGCUUUACUGCAGCUUGACAUUGAGUUUGGGCAUGAUUUGUGUAGUAUAGGUGGGAGGCUAUGAAACUAGAGCGCCAGCUUUGGUGGAGCCAACAGUGAAAUACCACCCUAAUCAUGUUUAGACCCUAACCGUACGCCGUGAACCGGGUACGGGACCGUGUCUGGUGGGCAGUUUGACUGGGGCGGUCGCCUCCUAAANNGCGCCCAAAGGUUCCCUCAGACUGAAUGGAAACCAGUCGUAGAGUGCAAAAGCAUAAGGGAGCUUGACUGCAAGACCAACGCGUCGAGCAGAGACGAAAGUCGGGUUUAGUGAUCCCACGGUACCGAGUGGAAGGGCCGUGGCUUACCGGAUAAAAGCUACCCCGGGGAUAACAGGCUGGUGAGGUCCAAGAGUUCACAUCGACGACCUCGCUCGGCACCUCGAUGUCGGCUNNNNNNNNNNNNNNNNNNNNNNNNNNNNNNNNNNNNGGUUGGGCUGUUCGCCCAUUAAAGAGGCACGCGAGCUGGGUUCAGACCGUCGUGAGACAGGUCGGUCUCUAUCCGCUGUGGGCGUAAGGGAUUUGAGAGGAGCUGCCCCUAGUACGAGAGGACCGGGGUGGACAGACCUCUAGUGUGUCAGUUGUCGUGCCAACGGCAUCGCUGAGUAGCUACGUCUGGCAGAGAUAACCGCUGAAAGCAUCUAAGUGGGAAACUCGCCUCAAGAUAAGAUCCCUGUGAUCCCGUAAGGGAGUAAGACCGCAGGAAGACUACCUGCUUGAUAGGCAACGUGUGUAAGCGCAGCAAUGCGUUGAGCUAAGUUGUACUAAUGGUCGAGGGCUUCCCA